GUCAGAGGUAGGGGCUUGGUGAAAUUUCUUUAGAGGAUGAGCUCCAGGUGCCUGUUACAAUGUGCUUGCAGAAUUAGGGAAUGCCUCUUGUCCCUGACUAUUAGGUGAGCCCCAGCAUCCAGGUGGAGAAGAGGAGAGUAUAGAAGAGGCUGCCUGCCUUUUCUGUCCAGCCUGCAGAGGGUAACAGGGGAAUGUCUAGAGCUCCUCUGACCACCUUCAGAACGGAAAAUAAAGGGGAAUCUGGAUGCAGAAAAAUAAGAUAGGGGAGGUGCAUGGAGUGAUUGAAUGGCAGCAGUGUUCCUUGGAUAAGGGACUUCUUGUCCUUGCCCUGGUGUCUUACCAACAGCUCUUGGCCCGCUUGGCCAGAUGUUCCUUCAGACCCAUGGAAAAUCAGUUCCUAUGGGACAAUGUGAGAGCUCUACAAUUUUAUCUAGUUGCAUUCAAAUGAAGUUUCUUUGGUUAUUGCCUAUUUUGGGCAAAUUCCUGCUGAAUCAAAACAUUGGAAGUUUUUCUCCCCUUAUAUCAGAGGUUAUAUAUGUGUUCUUCCCCUCCAAAUAACAAAAAUGUAGACUCUGAACACCCCCAUUCCUGGAGGAGCCAAGGUUUAAUCUGAGUGACAAGGUCCAGGGAUGAUAGUAUAUUGCCAGGUUAUGUAAGGUCCAAUUCACAUACCAAUUAAAAAGAGGGCUUUUGUCAACAACUGACCACUUAAAGUUAAUUUAUCAGGAGAGAUAAGAGUUAGCAAACCAGAGAGCUGACAGUCAUCUUUCCAUUUGGAACACAACAGUGCAUCAGGCAGCUGAUCCUCUGGAGCCUCUCUCAGUACAGAAAGGCUACUUUAAAAUUUCUAAGACAAAAUGCAGUUGAGAAAUAAAUUUAUCUCACCCUUGUGUAUUAUUGCUCUC
rnacentral:lncRNA from 1 species